rnacentral:misc_RNA from 1 species
AACGCAUCUUGCACUCUCUGGUUUUCCAGGGAGUAUGCCUGUUUGAGUGUCUUGAAUACCUCCAUCCAAUCUUUUUUGGAUGGGUUGUGCGCUUGCUUUUGCUUGCGUCAAAUGCAUGAACCACGUCGUCAUACUUUUCGGCACCGGUUCCUCGCAGAAAUGCACAUACUCUUCGACCUCAAAUCAGGUAGGACUACCCGCUGAACUUAA